rnacentral:rRNA from 1 species
UACAGAGGGGGCAAGCGUUAUUCGGAAUUAUUGGGCGUAAAGGGCGCGUAGGCGGCCUGGCAAGUGGAAGGUGAAAUCCCUCGGCUUAACCGAGGAACUGCCUCCCAAACUGCUUGGCUUGAGACCAGGAGAGGUGAGUGGAAUUCCCAGUGUAGCGAUGAAAUGCGUAGAUAUUGGGAGGAACACCAGUGGCGAAGGCGGCUCACUGGACUGGUACUGACGCUGAGGCGCGAAAGCGUGGGGAGCAAACGGG